rnacentral:rRNA from 1 species
GGCUUAGAGUUUGAUCAUGGCUCAGGACGAACGCUGGCGGCGUGCUUAACACAUGCAAGCCGAACGGGGUGUUUAUUUCGGUAAACACCAAGUGGCGAACGGGUGAGUAACGCGUAAGCAAUCUACCUUCAAGAUGGGGACAACACUUCGAAAGGGGUGCUAAUACCGAAUGAAUGUAAGAGUAUCGCAUGAGACACUUACUAAAGGAGGCCUCUGAAUAUGCUUCCGCUUGAAGAUGAGCUUGCGUCUGAUUAGCUAGUUGGUGAGGGUAAAGGCCCACCAAGGCGACGAUCAGUAGCCGGUCUGAGAGGAUGAACGGCCACAUUGGGACUGAGACACGGCCCAGACUCCUACGGGAGGCAGCAGUGGGGAAUCUUCCGCAAUGGGCGAAAGCCUGACGGAGCAACGCCGCGUGAACGAUGAAGGUCUUAGGAUCGUAAAGUUCUGUUGUUAGGGACGAAGGGUAAGAAUCAUAAUACGGUUUUUAUUUGACGGUACCUAACGAGGAAGCCACGGCUAACUACGUGCCAGCAGCCGCGGUAAUACGUAGGCGGCAAGCGUUGUCCGGAAUUAUUGGGCGUAAAGGGAGCGCAGGCGGGAACUAAGCGGAUCUUAAAAGUGCGGGGCUCAACCUCUGUGAGGGGGUCCGAACUGGUUUUCUUGAGUGCAGGAGAGGAAGGCGGAAUUUCUCAGUGUAGCGGUGAAAUGCGUAGAUAUUGGGAAGAACACCAGUGGCGAAGCGGCUUUCUGGACUGUAACUGACGCUGAGGCUCGAAAGCUAGGGUAGCGAACGGGAUUAGAUACCCCGGUAGUCCUAGCCGUAAACGAUGGAUACUAGUGUGGGAGGUAUCGACCCCUUUCGUGC